UACGUAGGUGGCUAGCGUUGUCCGGAUUUACUGGGCGUAAAGCGCGUGUAGGCGGCCAGGUAAGUCGGAUGUGAAAGCCCGGGGCCCAACCCCGGAACUGCACCCGAUACUGCCUGGCUGGAGUCCCGGAGAGGAUGGCGGAAUUUCCGGUGUAGAGGUGAAAUUCGUAGAUAUCGGAAGGAACACCAGUGGCGAAGGCGGCCAUCUGGACGGUGACUGACGCUGAGACGCGAAAGCGUGGGGAGCAAACAGG
rnacentral:rRNA from 1 species